rnacentral:rRNA from 1 species
UACGAGGGGGGGCAAGCGUUGUUCGGAAUUAUUGGGCGUAAAGGGCGCGUAGGCGGUGCGGUAAGUCACCUGUGAAAACUCUGGGCUCAACUCAGAGCCUGCAGGCGAAAACUGCCGUGCUGGAGUGUGGGAGAGGUGCGUGGAAUUCCCGGUGUAGCGGUGAAAUGCGUAGAUAUCGGGGAGGAACACCUGUGGCGAAGGCGGCUCACUGGCCCGAUACUGACGCUGAGGCACGAAAGCGUGGG